rnacentral:rRNA from 1 species
AACGAACGCUGGCGGCAUGCCUAACACAUGCAAGUCGAACGAGACCUUCGGGUCUAGUGGCGCACGGGUGCGUAACGCGUGGGAACCUGCCCUUAGGUUCGGAAUAACUCCCCGACAGGGGUGCUAAUACCGGAUAAUGUCUGCGGACCAAAGAUUUAUCGCCUUUGGAUGGGCCCGCGUUGGAUUAGCCAGUUGGUAGUGUAAAAGCCUACCAAGGCGCGGAUACAUAGCUGGGUUGAGAGGAUGAGCAGCCACACUGGGACUGAGACACGGCCCAGAAUCCUGCGGGAGGCAGCAGUGGGGAAUACUGGAAAAUGGGGGAAAGCAUGAUGCAGCAAUGCUGCGUGAGUGAUGAGGGCGUUAGGGUUGUAAAGCUCUUUUACCCGCCAUGAUAAUGACAGUACCGGGAGAAUAAGCACCGGCUAACUUCGUG